AGAUUGAACGCUGGCGGCAGGCCUAACACAUGCAAGUCGAGCGGCAGCACGGGUACUUGUACCUGGUGGCGAGCGGCGGACGGGUGAGUAAUGCCUAGGAAUCUGCCUGGUAGUGGGGGAUAACGCUCGGAAACGGACGCUAAUACCGCAUACGUCCUACGGGAGAAAGCAGGGGACCUUCGGGCCUUGCGCUAUCAGAUGAGCCUAGGUCGGAUUAGCUAGUUGGUGAGGUAAUGGCUCACCAAGGCGACGAUCCGUAACUGGUCUGAGAGGAUGAUCAGUCACACUGGAACUGAGACACGGUCCAGACUCCUACGGGAGGCAGCAGUGGGAAUAGUUGGACAAGUGGGACGAAAGCCUGAUCCAGCCAUGCCGCGUGUGUGAAGAAGGUCUUCGAUUAGAAAGCUACUUUAAGGUUGGGAGGAAGGCUAGUUACCUAAUACGUAUCUGUUUGACGUUACGACAGAAUAAGCACCGGACUAACUCUGUCGA
rnacentral:rRNA from 1 species